AGCUUUUGCUUGGCAUAUUGGCAGACGAAUUGCGGGCAUGUCCAAGACAUAUAAUUUAUAUUUGAACUUAUAUGUUUUAGACGUGUUCAGGAUUAGUCUCUCAUUAGUCCACCUCC
rnacentral:pre_miRNA from 1 species